GACGAACGCUGGCGGCGUGCUUAACACAUGCAAGUCGAACGGAAAGGCCCUGCUUUUGUGGGGUGCUCGAGUGGCGAACGGGUGAGUAACACGUGAGUAACCUGCCCUUGACUUUGGGAUAACUUCAGGAAACUGGGGCUAAUACCGGAUAGGAGCUCCUGCUGCAUGGUGGGGGUUGGAAAGAUUCGGCGGUUGGGGAUGGACUCGCGGCUUAUCAGCUUGUUGGUGGGGUAGUGGCUUACCAAGGCUUUGACGGGUAGCCGGCCUGAGAGGGUGACCGGCGACAUUGGGACUGAGAGACGGCCCAGACUCCUACGGGAGGCAGCAGGGGGGAAUAUUGCACAAUGGGCGGAAGCCUGAUGCAGCAACGCCGCGUGCGGGAUGACGGCCUUCGGGUUGUAAACCGCUUUCGCCUGUGACGAAGCGUGAGUGACGGUAAUGGGUAAAGAAGCACCGGCUAACUACGUG
rnacentral:rRNA from 1 species